AGGACAUCAUGAAGUAAAGAUCUCAGCUGACCCACAAUGGACAUACAUUUCCUUAGAGUCUCAGGGAAGGCUUCUGGAAGAGGUGUAUUUUCAAGUGAAGAUACCGAGAGCCCAGUAUCACAGAGGAAGAAAGUACUGGUGGUGACACAGCAGGUAUUUUAGAAGUGGGGGCAGCUAUUUUAGACAGCUCUUUCCUAUGUUGUUCCUGUCACACCAUGAAGAUGCCGAUUUCGUCCACCCACAAGAAAGCUGCCUUGGUCCUGGUACUCAAGGGCUCUAUGUUGCCUCCAUCAUAUCCAGAAUUAAUUCCAAUAACAUGUUCUUGCAUUCUUCGUCAGCACAGCAAGGGAGCUAACUAAAAG
rnacentral:lncRNA from 1 species